GAUGAAGAACGCAGCAAAAUGCGAUAAGUAAUGUGAAUUGCAGAAUUCAGUGAAUCAUCGAAUCUUUGAACGCACAUUGCGCCCGCCAGUAUUCUGGCGGGCAUGCCUGUUCGAGCGUCAUUUCAACCCUCAAGCACAGCUUGGUGUUGGGACUCGCGUUAAUUCGCGUUCCUCAAAUUGAUUGGCGGUCACGUCGAGCUUCCAUAGCGUAGUAGUAAAACCCUCGUUACUGGUAAUCGUCGCGGCCACGCCGUUAAACCCCAACUUCUGAAUGUUGACCUCGGAUCAGGUGGGAAUACCCGCUGAACUUAAGCAUAUCAAUAAGCGGAGGA
rnacentral:misc_RNA from 1 species